CACGAAUUUGAUAUUUGGCAUGUAGUCAAAGGACUUUCCAAAAAGUUGUGCUCCAUGUCAAGAUACAAGGAUAAUCGAGAGCUGCAGCCAUGGAUACAAAGUAUUUGCAACCACUUAUGGUAUUGCUCUGCAACUUGUGGAGGUGACCCUGACGAACUGAUCGAGAAUUGGAAGUCCAUUCUUUUUCACAUUACAGGUGUGCACAGUUGGAUUGCAGAAGGAAAGCCAAAAAAAUGGCGACACAAUGAUCUCAGUCCGG